GGCACGCCUAACACAUGCAAGUCGAACGAAGUAGCAAUACUUAGUGGCAGACGGGUGAGUAACAUGUAGGUAUCUGCCCUUUGGCCUGGAAUAACACGAGGAAACUUGUGCUAAUACCGGAUAAGUCUUUACGGAGAAAGCUUUAUGCACCAUUGGAUGAGCCUGCACUUGAUUAGUUUGUUGGUGGGGUAAUGGCCUACCAAGACUGUGAUCAAUAGCUGAUUUGAGAGGAUGAUCAGCCACAUUGGGACUGAGACACGGCCCAAACUCCUACGGGAGGCAGCAGUGGGGAAUCUUGCACAAUGGAGGAAACUCUGAUGCAGCGAUGCCGCGUGAGUGAAGAAGGCCCUUGGGUUGUAAAGCUCUUUCGUCGGGGAAGAAAAUGACUGUACCCGAAUAAGAAGGUCCGGC
rnacentral:rRNA from 1 species